rnacentral:rRNA from 1 species
UACGUAGGUGGCAAGCGUUGUCCGGAAUUAUUGGGCGUAAAGCGCGCGCAGGCGGUCUCUUAAGUCUGAUGUGAAAUCCCGUGGCUUAACCACGGGCGGUCAUUGGAAACUGGGGGACUUGAGUGCAGAAGAGGAGAGUGGAAUUCCUGGUGUAGCGGUGAAAUGCGCAGAUAUCAGGAAGAACACCCGUGGCGAAGGCGGCUCUCUGGGACGGUACUGACGCUGAGACGCGAAAGCGUGGGGAGCGAACAGG